GCUCACUUUGACGGAACAUAUACUAAAAUUGGAAAGAUACAGAGACGAUUAGCAUGACCCCUGUGCGAGGAUGGCAUGCAAAUUCAGGAGGCCAUCCGUAUUUAA
ensembl:snRNA U6 U6 spliceosomal RNA